rnacentral:rRNA from 1 species
AACGAACGCUGGCGGCGUGCCUAACACAUGCAAGUCGCACGAGAAAGGCCUUCGGGCCGAGUAAAGUGGCGGACGGGUGAGUAAUGCAUGGAUAACCUGCCUUCGAGUGGGGGAUAACUCCGGGAAACCGGGGCUAAUACCGCAUGACAAGGCGCGGGCCUCGGCCUUCGCCUUCAAAGCUGGCCUCUGCUUGCAUGCUGGCGCUUGAAGAGGGGUCCAUGUCCCAUUAGCUUGUUGGUGAGGUAACGGCUCACCAAGGCGACGAUGGGUAGCCGGCCUGAGAGGGUGUUCGGCCACACUGGGACUGAGACACGGCCCAGACUCCUACGGGAGGCAGCAGUGGGGAAUCUUGCGCAAUGGGCGAAAGCCUGACGCAGCGACGCCGCGUGAGGGAUGAAGGCCUUCGGGUUGUAAACCUCUUUUCUUAGGGACGAUGAUGACGGUACCUGAGGAAUAAGCCACGGCUAACUACGUG